AUUGCACUCCCACUACGGCACUGUUUUUUUUUUGCUACCAUUAGCUUCAUUGAAAGCAAAAAAGGACUAUAGCAUCGGUGUUGGAGCUUCGCACGAGCCACUGAAGUGAUUUUUUUUAACGAGGUAUUAUAAAGACCCAACUAUGUUUUUACCGGCCAGCUUACCUUAAUUACUAAUAUACUAUUUGAAGCACUUGAAAGUUGAGCCUACAGAUCCAAAACAAGGCUUUCUUGAUUUUUGUUAUCCCCCACGACAAAGAGACAUUUCUUACGAAACUCGGACUUACAGCUCGGGCUUGCAUCUCUUGAAAAAGUGUUUCUGAACAUCGCUAGACGGGCUAAACUAGAAAGUGCAACCGCUGCAAGAACCAUGGUCACCCUCGAUUUAGAAUCUGGCAUCUCACUUAAAGGGAAAUCUAAUAGCAGAUAUAAAUAUAAAAUGCAACAAAGAUGAGGAAUUCCACUAAAUUAUAUGAUCAUUGUAGAUAUAUAUAUGGAUACCAAUGGGAGCCAGAUUUGGUGGGAUCCUUGAAACCAAACGCAGAAAAUUCAAUUGGAGUAAUGGUUGAAGUUUACUGGCAACAAGAUGGGUCGGGGUAGAUGGCAAUAGUCCACAUCUUUUUUUUGGUAGAAAUGUUAAAUAUUAUAGUUCACAUUUUCACAUUGAUUUUUGUGAUUGUUCAAUGUGACAAAAAUAUCGCAAUGUAUAUGCAUGUUAUAGACACAAGUUCGUGACUCAUCUUUUUAUGAUAGGUUUUGUCUUUCUCAA